AGAGUUUGAUCCUGGCUCAGGAUGAACGCUGGCGGCGUGCCUAACACAUGCAAGUCGAGCGAUUUACUUUGGUAAAGAGCGGGGGAUGGGUGAGUUACGCGUGGGUAACCUGCCCUGUACACACGGAUAACAUACCGAAAGGUAUGAUAAUACGAGAUAAAAUACUUUUAUCGCAUGGUAGAAGUAUCAAAGCUCUUGCGGUACAGGAUGGACCCGCGUCUGAUUAGCUAGUUGGUAAGGUAACGGCUUACCAAGGCGACGAUCAGUAGCCGACCUGAGAGGGUGAUCGGCCACAUUGGAACUGAGACACGGUCCAAACUCCUACGGGAGGCAGCAGUGGGGAAUAUUGCACAAUGGGCGAAAGCCUGAUGCAGCAACGCCGCGUGAGCGAUGAAGGCCUUCGGGUCGUAAAGCUCUGUCCUCAAGGAAGAUAAUGACGGUACUUGAGGAGGAAGCCCCGGCUAACUACGUGCCAGCAGCCGCGGUAAUACGUAGGGGGCUAGCGUUAUCCGGAAUUACUGGGCGUAAAGGGUGCGUAGGUGGUUUCUUAAGUCAGAGGUGAAAGGCUACGGCUCAACCGUAGUAAGCCUUUGAAACUGGGGAACUUGAGUGCAGGAGAGGAGAGUGGAAUUCCUAGUGUAGCGGUGAAAUGCGUAGAUAUUAGGAGGAACACCAGUUGCGAAGGCGGCCUGCUGGACCGCGACUGACGUUGAGGCUCGAAAGCGUGGGGAGCGAACAGGAUUAGAUACCCUGGUAGUCCACGCCGUAAACGAUGAUUACUAGGUGUCGGGGAGCAGAGACUGCCCGGUGCCGGCGCAAACGCAAUAAGUAGUCCACCUGGGAAGUACGUCCGCAAGGAUGAAACUCAAAGGAAUUGACGGGGACCCGCACAAGCGGUGGAGCAUGUGGUUUAAUUCGAAGCAACGCGAAGAACCUUACCUGGCCUUGACAUCCCGGUGAAUGCAGGGUAAUGCCUGCAGCCUUUCGGGGCAGCGGAGACAGGUGGUGCAUGGUUGUCGUCAGCUCGUGUCGUGAGAUGUUGGGUCAAGUCCCGCAACGAGCGCAACCCCUGCCCCUAGUAGCCAGCACGUAAAGGUGGGCACUCUAGGGGGACUGCCGGGGACAACCCGGAGGAGGGCGGGGACGACGUCAAAUCAUCAUGCCCCUUAUGGCCAGGGCUACACACGUGCUACAAUGGCGUGCACAGAGGGAAGCAAAGCGGCGACGCCAAGCAAAGCCCGGAAAGCACGCCUCAGUUCGGAUUGCAGCCUGCAACUCGGCUGCAUGAAGCCGGAAUCGCUAGUAAUCGCGGAUCAGAACGCCGCGGUGAAUACGUUCCCGGGUCUUGAACACACCGCCCGUCA
rnacentral:rRNA from 1 species